rnacentral:rRNA from 1 species
UACGUAGGGUCCGAGCGUUGUCCGGAAUUACUGGGCGUAAAGAGCUCGUAGGCGGCUUGUUGCGUCAGCUGUGAGAACCCGCAGCUCAACUGUGGGCUUGCAGCUGAUACGGGCAGGCUUGAGUUCGGUAGGGGAGACUGGAAUUCCUGGUGUAGCGGUGAAAUGCGUAGAUAUCGGAAGGAACAUCAGUGGCGAAAGCGACUUCCUGGACCAGUACCGACGUUCAGGCACGAAAGCGUGGGGAGCAAACAGG